rnacentral:rRNA from 1 species
AUUGAACGCUGGCGGCAGGCCUAACACAUGCAAGUCGAACGAGUGGCGGACGGGUGCGUAAUGUCUGGGAAACUGCCUGAUGGAGGGGGAUAACUACUGGAAACGGUAGCUAAUACCGCAUCCCAUCAGAUGUGCCCAGCUGGGAUUAGCUCGGAGGUGGGGUAAAGGCUCACCUAGGCGACGAUCCCUAGCUGGUCUGAGAGGAUGACCAGCCACACUUGAACUGAGAAACGGUCCAGACUCCUACGGGAGGCAGCAGUGGGGAAUAUUGCACAAGGGGCGAAAGCCUGAUGCAGCCAUGACGCGUGUAUGAAGAGGGCCUUCGGGUUGUAAAGUAAUUUCAGAGGGGAGGCGUUACCCGCAGAAGAAGCACCGGCUAACUCCGUGCCAGCAGCCGCGGUAAUAC